rnacentral:rRNA from 1 species
GAUGAACGCUGGCGGCGUGCCUAAUACAUGCAAGUCGAGCGAACGGACGAGAAACUUGCUUCUCUGAUGUUAGCGGCGGACGGGUGAGUAACACGUGGAUAACCUACCUAUAAGACUGGGAUAACUUCGGGAAACCGGAGCUAAUACCGGAUAAUAUCUUGAACCGCAUGGUUCAAAAGUGAAAGACGGUCUUGCUGUCACUUAUAGAUGGAUCCGCGCUGCAUUAGCUAGUUGGUAAGGUAACGGCUUACCAAGGCAACGAUGCAUAGCCGACCUGAGAGGGUGAUCGGCCACACUGGAACUGAGACACGGUCCAGACUCCUACGGGAGGCAGCAGUAGGGAAUCUUCCGCAAUGGGCGAAAGCCUGACGGAGCAACGCCGCUUGAGUGAUGAAGGUCUUCGGAUCGUAAACCUCUGUUAUUAGGGAAGAACAUAUGUGUAAGUAACUGUGCACAUCUUGACGGUACCUAAUCAGAAAGCCACGGCUAACUACGUG